UGGGGAAUAUUGCACAAUGGGGGAAACCCUGAUGCAGCCAUGCCGCGUGUGUGAAGAAGGCCUUCGGGUUGUAAAGCACUUUCAGUGGGGAGGAAGGGCUGAUGACUAAUAUUCAUCAGCAUUGACGUUACCCACAGAAGAAGCACCGGCUAACUCCGUGCCAGCAGCCGCGGUAAUACGGAGGGUGCAAGCGUUAAUCGGAAUAACUGGGCGUAAAGCGCACGCAGGCGGUCAGAUAAGUCAGAUGUGAAAGCCCCGGGCUCAACCUGGGAACUGCAUUUGAAACUGUCUGACUAGAGUCUUGUAGAGGGGGGUAGAAUUCCAGGUGUAGCGGUGAAAUGCGUAGAGAUCUGGAGGAAUACCGGUGGCGAAGGCGGCCCCCUGGACAAAGACUGACGCUCAGGUGCGAAAGCGUGGGGAGCAAACA
rnacentral:rRNA from 1 species